GGAUUCAUGAUGUUCAUGUUGGAUGAGGAGUUACACCACAGGAGAUAUGUGAUUAACUAAAUGAAAAAAGUUUAAAGCUCAUCUGCUCUGCGUCUGUUUUAGGAGCAGAAGCGAGAGUCGGAGGCCAAGACUUUUAAGGAAUUGGAGUUCAAGCACAAGACUUUUACACACAAUGAUGAGUUACUAGUGGAAACUCUGUCUGAAACUGAGGCUAAGCUUCUGAAAGCGAUGAAGUGCAACACUACACUGGAGCAGGAGAGAGCUGAGCUUUUUUACCAAGUGCAUUUACUGCGACAUUCACUCCAGGAGCUGGAGGAAAUGCUGUCUGAUUCCGAGAGGAAGUAUGAGGCUAUAAAGCAGGAGAAAGAACAAGAGGCGCAGGCUCACAAUAUCCUGAAGAGGAAGUACAAGAAGAUGCUGGAAUUUUUUAAUGCAGUUUAAUAACCUACUAACGAACUUUUACAAAGAGGAGGAAGUGGUUCUAUGAACCCCAGGUAAUUGCCCCUGGUUCUUACGAGGAGUGAAACAAAAGCACCGCUGACAUGCUGGCGCUCAUGGAUGACUAAAAAAA